rnacentral:rRNA from 1 species
GAUGAACGCUGGCGGCGUGCCUAAUACAUGCAAGUCGAGCGAGCAGACGAGGAGCUUGCUCCUCUGACGUUAGCGGCGGACGGGUGAGUAACACGUGGAUAACCUACCUAUAAGACUGGGAUAACUUCGGGAAACCGGAGCUAAUACCGGAUAAUAUAUUGAAUCGCAUGGUUCAAUAGUGAAAGACGGUUUUGCUGUCACUUAUAGAUGGAUCCGCGCCGCAUUAGCUAGUUGGUAAGGUAACGGCUUACCAAGGCAACGAUGCGUAGCCGACCUGAGAGGGUGAUCGGCCACACUGGAACUGAGACACGGUCCAGACUCCUACGGGAGGCAGCAGUAGGGAAUCUUCCGCAAUGGGCGAAAGCCUGACGGAGCAACGCCGCGUGAGUGAUGAAGGUCUUCGGAUCGUAAAACUCUGUUAUUAGGGAAGAACAAAUGUGUAAGUAACUAUGCACGUCUUGACGGUACCUAAUCAGAAAGCCACGGCUAACUACGUG